rnacentral:rRNA from 1 species
AUGAAGGGACAGUGCACAUCAAAAUCAGCAGGCCAACUUACAAAAGAAGCUAGAGAAGCUAUUAUCAGGAGGAAACAACAACUCCAACAAAAAAGGAGUAAGAGAUGCAGGAAUACACAGGAAACAACCUAUAAAACAGAAGAAGAUGCUUCACGGAAGAGAAAGGAACAAAUCAAAGAAAGAAAAGAUGUCAAGCAUGCAAGAAAAAAUGCAAGCGACAAUGAGCUUGAAAGCAACAUCAUAGAAAGAACCAGCAGCACUACGUCCAGAAGUUAUUAUAGCACGAUAUGGAACUUUGGAAAGCCAACAUACAUAUGCGAACAUUGCAAUGCAAUACUAUGGUGUGAAGAAAGAUUAAAUUCUCAUAGAGGAACCAAAAAACCUUCUUUCGGAAUUUGCUGCAAACAUGGUAAAAUUGGCCUACCAAAGAUAGCAUAUCCUCCACCUUACCUUGCAGGGCUAUUAACAGGUGAAGGAAGUGAUGCAACAAACUUCAGAGAAAAUAUAAGGUCAUACAACUCAAUGUUCUCAUUCACGUCAAUGGGAGGAACUGUUGACAAAGAAAUAAACAAAGGCAAAGGACCAUAUGUUUUUAGACUGCAUGGCCAGAACUACCACCAUAUUGGAACUCUUCUACCCGAAGAAGGUAACAAACCUCGAUUUGCCCAGCUAUACAUCUAUCAGAUAGAAAAUGAGGUACAAAACAGGAUAGAUGCUUCAAGAUGCAAUGAUAAAAAAACAACAGUGGACCCUGCCAUUGUCAAGGAACUACAAGAAAUGCUUGAUGAGAACAACAUCCUUGCAAAGUCAAUCAGAAUGGCAAGAGAUAGAUUCGAAGAAGAAGACUACCACGAUUACACGCUUCGAAUACUUGGGAAAAGGAACGGAACACACAACCUUCCAUCAGCAUCAGAAGUUGCAGCAUUAGUUGUAAGAGACCCUACUGGAGAGAGCGAAGGACGAGACAUCGUUGUUGAGUACAAAAAUAUGGAACCUCACAGAAUAUCGGAAAUCCAUCCAAAAUUAAUGUCAAUGCAAUACCCGUUAUUGUUUCCAUACGGAGAAGAUGGAUUCAAGCUUGAAAUACCUUACAAGCGAAUAAAAGAAGGUGACAAAAGCAGGAAAUAUGUAACUAUGCUAGACUACUAUGCAUACUACCUACAACAAAGACCCGACCAAGGAAUGUCGUUGCUAACAUCUAGACAUCUCUCGCUUCAAUUUUGGGUGGAUGUUUACACAUGCAUUGAGCAAAACAGACUAAACUGGAUCAGGAAUAAUCAAGGGAAGCUACGAACUGAACUUUACAGUGGACUACAUGACGUGAUUGAGCGAGGGGACACCAGAACAGAGCAGGUCGGAAAGAGAAUAAUUGUACCUUCAUCUUAUACAGGAGGUAGAAGAAACAAGGCACAAAACUUGCAAGACGCAUUUGCAAUAUGCCGUUGGGCUGGAUAUCCAGACCUAUUUAUAACAUUCACAUGCAAUGCAAAGUGUCCUGAGAUCCAAUACAUGCUAGAUGAAGCAGGAGGAGGCCUCAAGCCAGCCGACCGACCAAAUAUUGUUGACCGAGUAUUCAUGAUAAAACUGAAGGAGCUAAUGAGAGAUAUCGUUGUGAAGAAACACUUUGGAGAAACUAUAGCAAGUAAGAUCAGUCGACUACUAAUCGCUAACUAA